UAGGCCUUCCUUGGAAUAGGAUUGAGGAAGUGCUCAGAAGGUUCUUGAAUGUUGACAUGUUACCAAGCCUGCGCUAUGUGGGGCCUGAGGUGCGUCAUCUGAUAGUGUUUCCUCAAAGGGACAGGAAAAUCUUCCUUCACUAAGAUGAGAAGACAGGCAGUGGUGAGAAGCCGUUGGUGUACUGGAGAAGACGGGAGCAGGAGGAGCUCUGAAGGCCAUGUUUAUGGCUCCAAGUUUCCAAACAAACACAGAAGUGGGAUUCUGUGGCUGUGCUUUCUGAUUUCUCACUGGAAUCAUCGGCCAUGGGUCUUUCUGUGCAGCUCCUGUUACCAAGCACCCACCCACUCCAUGCUGGGCUCUGUCAUGUGAGGCCAUUGGCCUCAUCUGUAACUGGCACUCCAUAAGGUAACUGCUGUUAUCCCCACUUUACAGAUGAGAGAUUUGAGGCUUGAUGAGGGACAAGCUCUUGCCCACUUCUAAAUUCCAGUAGGAGGCAGAACUGGAACCAAAGCCUCAGUCACAGGCCCAGGAGCCUUCUCCUUACACACAUGAGAGCUUGUCCCCAGGGAGGCGACCACAGGAUGGUGCUCGGGAUGCCGACCCACUCAGCUGGCCUUGCAGCUCCACGUGAUCUUCAUGCUCUGGGCUGUUUCCAUGCUUACACGAGAGCGAGGUCAAAAACCCAUUUCUCAUCUGGGCGCAGUGACUCACGCCUGUAAUCCCAGCACUUUGUGAGGGUGAGGCGCGCGGAUCACUGAGGACAGGAGUUCAAGACCAGCCUGGCCAACAUGGUGAAACCUCAUCUCUACUAAAAAUACAAAAACUAGCCAGGUGUAGCUGUGCAUGCCUAUGGUCCCAGCUACCUGGGUGGCUGAGGCAUGAGAAUCGCUUGAACCUGGGAGGCAGAUGUUGCUGUGAGCCAAAAUUGCCCCACACACUUCCAAUUUGGGUGACAGAGUGAGACCCUAUCUCAAAAAAAUAAAAACAAGCAAACAAACAAAAACGAUGUAUCUUUUCCUUACAGUCCCGCCUGCUCUCCUGAGGUGUGCUUGGACUGUUUAUAAGGUAUCACCGCCUCUCAAACACCCUUGCUAGUUCUAGGGAACUGGAUCCCUCCCUUGCUGGGAGGGGUUGGUGUAGAACUGAGUGGAGGAGACAGGAGGAGGAGGAGGGCUGUGGCUGGCCUCACCUUGGUCUUGCACCUUCAGGCUUCAGGAUACGCACUGGAAAUGUUAGGAGAGUGAGCCUGCUGGGGAUGAGGCAUUUUAAUUCCUGGUACUCCAGACAGUGGAGAUCUUGAUAUGCAGCCUCCAGGAAGGGGAAACCCUGCCUUUCUCCAAGCUCUGUUUGGAAGGGAAUAGUGGGCAGAUGGGCUCUCUUGCCUGGGAAAACUGACUUCUCUUGGUUCAGGUGAGUGUAAUCAUUCCUCUACUUUUGGCCUUGACAGUUGUCCUUAUCUGGACAUGUAACAUCAAUGGAAUCAACACAGCAUGAACUUCCGUGUCUGCUCCUUUCAUUCAGCCUAAUGUUUUUGAGGUUAAACCCUGUGUGGCAUGCACUGGUUCUUUGAUUCUUUUCAGUAACAAAUAAUAUUCCUGGGGCCAAUUGCGUGCAUUUUGUAGUUUUUAAAGAAACAUUAAGUUUUAGUUUUACUUAAUAUCUUAUGAUUGCCCAAUCUCCUAAGUGAUAUCUUUAGUUUGUAUGCAUUAGGUGCUAUGAAGUUCUAUGGGUUUUGACCAAAUGCCCAGGGUCAUGUAUCCACCAUUUCAGUAUAAGAAUAGUUCCACUGCUCUAAAGUCCCCAAUGCUUCAUGCAUUCAGCCCUCCCCCUCUCUGAACCCCAGCAAACACUGCUGUUUGCCAACUUACCUCUGUAGUUUUGACUUGCCCAGGAUGUUGCAUAGUUAGAAUAAUUAAGGAUGUAGCCCUUUCAGACUAACGUCUUUCACUUAGCAAUAUGUCUUGAUAGCUCAUUCCUAUUUACCCCUGAAUACUGUUCCACUGUACGGAUGCACCACAG
ensembl:lncRNA